UACGGAGGAUCCAAGCGUUAUCCGGAUUCAUUGGGUUUAAAGGGUGCGUAGGCGGACUGAUAAGUCAGCGGUGAAAUCCCACGGCUCAACUGUGGAACUGCCGUUGAUACUGUCAGUCUUGAGUACAGAUGAUGUGGGCGGAAUAUGACAUGUAGUGGUGAAAUACUUAGAUAUGUCAUAGAACACCGAUUGCGAAGGCAGCUCACAAAACUGUCACUGACGCUGAGGUGCGAAAGCGUGGGGAGCAAACAGG
rnacentral:rRNA from 1 species